AAAUCUCUCUCUCUCUCUCUCUCUCUCCUUCCACCAUCACAGCUGACGCAGAAACGUACGGCAAUGGCGAUUCCUUGUUGAGCUCUACUCCAUUUUUUUCUCGUAGAAAGAGAAGCUCUGGGCCCUGUGGAUGAUUAGAAGAAGAAAAGUUUGAUCAUCUUAUGUUCUUUGUUUGCUUUAUUUUUUCUGAUCUUUUGAGAAUUAUCCUAGAGCUAUAGUAUUUUCUAUUGAUUAUUACGGUUCAUUUUGUUUUGAGAUUUCAGAUCUUAGUUUCAGAAACUAGAGUUUUGAUUUAUUUUCCUCCAUUUUAUCGUAGAUGUUGCUUAUAUAAUCUCAUUUGGUUUAGGCCAUUUUCAGGUUAUCUGUUCAUCUGGUUAGAAACAUAUUCAGAUCCAGGUGGUUAAAUUUGAAAAUCAGUUUUCGAUUUUUUGUUUUAGUGUUUGUUUUAUGGUUUGGUUUUCCUGUGAAGAUCAACUCGUGUUGUCUCCGGACGCAGCGGUUUACCGAUCUCUUCCUGUAGCGUUUGUUUAAUGGAUUGAUUGCCGAUUGAAGUGAAAGACAGAACAGGAAUCGGUCGAUAAACCUCUGCAUCCGUUGCUGUUUUAGCUAUUGUGCUCAAGAUCUUGGUAACUUACCACCUAUUUCUCAAUGUAUGUUCACCUGAGUAUGGAUUAAAGUUCACACUCAAGUACUAAGAUGAUGUUCUUUAUCUGUAUACCUUGUUCUGUUAAACCAAAUGAAGGUUACAGUAAUCUAUUUGUGGUAUAAUGUUCAGAAUUCUGUGAAGGUUGCAUUGUUCUUGAAGUUUUCGUACAGUAGUGAGGAGAAAAGAUGGUAAUGGGCUUCUACUUUCUCAGGAAGUUGCGAUUCUGGUUGUUGGGUCUGAGCAUGAAUAAAAAUGAGUAGAUGAUAGAUUGAAUACGAUAUAGAAAACUUUGGAAUGUUUCAUUCUGAGAAAAAUAAGUAAGAUCUUGUCUUCUGGAGCCGAGUAAUAAGCAUGGCUUGAGAAAUGAAACAGAUCUAGACAAUGGUUCUGGAGGUGAUUCUUGCAUUGUUAACUUUCUGGUUGAUCUCUUUGGCCAGUCCUUGCUUGAUAUUGUAUUGUAAUAGUUUCAGCGCAAGUCUAUUGCAAUAUAUUUAAUCUGAUUAAUGUUGCAUUAAA